CCAACACUGGGACUGAGACACUGCCCAGACUCCUACGGGAGGCUGCAGUCGAGAAUCUUUCGCAAUGGGCGCAAGCCUGACGAAGCGACGCCGUGUGAGCGAAGAAGGCCUUCGGGUUGUAAAGCUCUUUCGCUUGGGAACAAGAGAGGUUGGUUAAUACCCGGCUGAUUUGAGGGUACCUGGUAAAGAAGCACCGGCUAACUC
rnacentral:rRNA from 1 species